ensembl:snRNA U2 U2 spliceosomal RNA
AUUGCUUCUCAGCCUUUUGGCUAAGAUCAAGUGUAGUAUCUGUUGUUAUCAGAGAAAGAACAGAACCCCUGGAGCUGAUUGACUACCUAUGGAAUUUUACGAGACCCUUU